rnacentral:rRNA from 1 species
UACGUAGGGGGCAAGCGUUGUCCGGAUUUAUUGGGCGUAAAGAGCGUGUAGGCGGCUUUACAGGUCCGUUGUGAAAACUCGAGGCUCAACCUCGAGCUGUCGGUGGAAACUGUCUGGCUAGAGUCCGGAAGAGGAGAAUGGAAUUCCUGGUGUAGCGGUGAAAUGCGCAGAUAUCAGGAAGAACACCCGUGGCGAAGGCGGUUCUCUGGGACGGUACUGACGCUGAGACGCGAAAGCGUGGGGAGCGAACAGG